GAUGAACGCUAGCGGGAGGCUUAACACAUGCAAGUCGAGGGGCAGCAUAGGGUAGCAAUACUCUGAUGGCGACCGGCAAACGGGUGAGUAACGCGUAUGCAACCUACCCUGUACAGGGGGAUAACCCGGAGAAAUUCGGACUAAUAUCCCGUAAUAAUAUCCGGAGGCAUCUUUGGAUAUUAAAGUUCCGACGGUACGGGAUGGGCAUGCGUAACAUUAGCUGGUUGGUAAGGUAACGGCUUACCAAGGCUAUGAUGUUUAGGGGUCCUGAGAGGGUGGUCCCCCACACUGGUACUGAGACACGGACCAGACUCCUACGGGAGGCAGCAGUGAGGAAUAUUGGUCAAUGGGCGCAAGCCUGAGCCAGCCAUCCCGCGUGCAGGAAGACGGCCCUAUGGGUUGUAAACUGCUUUUCCAGGGAGAGAAACUUACGCACGUGUUGCGUGACUGACGGUACCCUGGGAAUAAGCAUCGGCUAACUCCGUG
rnacentral:rRNA from 1 species